UGAUCCUGGCUCAGAACGAACGCUGGCGGCGCGCCUAAUACAUGCAAGUCGAGCGAGAAGGUGUAGCAAUACACUUGUAAAGCGGCGAACGGGUGAGGAAUACAUGGGUAAUCUACCAUCGAGUGGGGAAUAACCGGCCGAAAGGCUGGCUAAUACCGCGUACGCUUCCGGGUUUUCGGAUUCGGAAGGAAAGCCAUACCGUGGGUAUGGCGCUCUUUGAUGAGCUCAUGUCCUAUCAGCUUGUUGGUAGGGUAACGGCCUACCAAGGCUUUGACGGGUAGCUGGUCUGAGAGGACGAUCAGCCACACUGGCACUGCGACACGGGCCAGACUCCUACGGGAGGCAGCAGUAAGGAAUAUUGCGCAAUGGACGACAGUCUGACGCAGCGACGCCGCGUGGGGGAUGAAGGUCUUCGGAUUGUAAACCCCUUUCGGGAGGGAAGAUGGAGCGAGCAAUCGUUCGGACGGUACCCCCAGAAGCAGCCACGGCCAACUUCGUGCCAGCAGCCGCGGUAAUACGAAGGUGGCAAGCGUUGUUCGGAUUCACUGGGCGUACAGGGUGUGUAGGCGGUUUGGUAAGCCUUCUGUUAAAGCUUCGGGCCCAACCCGGAAAGCGCAGAGGGGACUGCCAGGCUAGAGGACGGGAGAGGAGCGCGGAAUUCCCGGUGUAGCGGUGAAAUGCGUAGAGAUCGGGAGGAAGGCCGGUGGCGAAAGCGGCGCUCUGGAACGUACCUGACGCUGAGACACGAAAGCGUGGGGAGCAAACAGGAUUAGAUACCCUGGUAGUCCACGCCCUAAACUAUGGAUACUAAGUGUCGGCGGGUUACCGCCCGGUGCCGCAGCUAACGCAUUAAGUAUCCCGCCUGGGAAGUACGGCCGCAAGGUUGAAACUCAAAUGAAUUGACGG
rnacentral:rRNA from 1 species